UCCCUGGGGGCUCAGAUGGUAAAGCAUCUGCCUGCAAUGCGGGAUACCUGGGUUUGAUCCCCGGUUGGGAAG
rnacentral:tRNA from 1 species